rnacentral:rRNA from 1 species
GGCGAACGCUGGCGGCGUGCUUAACACAUGCAAGUCGAACGGAAAGGCCCUGCUUUUGUGGGGUGCUCGAGUGGCGAACGGGUGAGUAACACGUGAGUAACCUGCCCUUGACUUUGGGAUAACUUCAGGAAACUGGGGCUAAUACCGGAUAGGAGCUCCUGCUGCAUGGUGGGGGUUGGAAAGUUUCGGCGGUUGGGGAUGGACUCGCGGCUUAUCAGCUUGUUGGUGGGGUAGUGGCUUACCAAGGCUUUGACGGUUAGCCGGCCUGAGAGUGUGUCCGGCCACAUUGGGAGUAAGAGACGGCCCAGACUCCGACGGGAGGCAGCAGUGGGGAAUAUUGCACAAUGGACGGAAGCCGGAUGCAGCAACGCCGCGUGCGGGAGGACGGCCUUCGGGUUGUAAACCGCUUUCGCCUGUGACGAAGCGUGAGUGACGGUAAUGGGUAAAGAAGCACCGGCUAACUACGU